AGUAGAUGUCAUAUAUUAUGCAUAAAUACUAUAUGUAUUAUAUGUGUAUGAAUAUAUAAUAUAACCUAUGUCUUGUGUUAUAUACUGUAACAUAACAUAAAACAUAAUGCAUAUGAGAGAAUUUGGUGGAUAAUAUCUAAACUUAAAUAAUUGGUGGGCCCAUAGUUGGCAGCUGAAGAUGAGAAGUGAAUUAAAAUUCAUGACACCCACUUAAAUUUUAAAGUCAAAUAUGAUAUAAUACAAAGGACAUUCCCACAUCUUUAUGGUUACCAUUACAUUUUAAUAAAGGAGAACUUGUCACCAGAGUAAAAAUAAUUGGUAAGGAGCCUUUUCAGAUAAAUUAACCAUCCACAAAAACAUUCUGUGUGGGAGUAAAUCUUUGAGCAUCUUACCACAGGGUGUUUUUAAAACUAUUUCCAUCCAAACUCCUGAUGAUGUCUAACCUUCUAAAGAGAAAAUUCUGAGCCCAAAGGGAUCAAUUGCCUUUUCAGUUGGAGGUAUAUAUGUACCCCUAAAGAGGUUCAAAAGAAAUCAUUCAAGAUACUUUUCACAUGCAUACAGGAUUGGUUGCAAUAGUUAAAGAACAUAGAGUUGAAAUAAAUUGGAGGCUUCUUGUGGGUAUAUCCUUUUAUAUCAUGUUUUCCUUUAUAAUAAUUUAUUUUAUAUAAUUCGUGAUAAGAACAAUUACCCUGAAAUCUACUCUCUAAACAAACUUUGAAGUCUACAGGACAUUAUCAUUGGAUACAGUUUUGUAGAGCAGACCUUUAGUGCUUAUUCAUUUUGCUGGCCUGAAACUUUGUGCAGUUGAUUAGUGACCCCCAAUCCUCCGGUAGUUACCAUUUCACUCUUUGAUUCCUUGAAUUUGACUAUUUUAUACAUUUCAUGUAAGUGGGAUCUUAUAGUAUAUGACAUUCUGUGGCUGGCUUAAUUUCACUUAGCAUAAUAUCCUCAAGGUUCAUCAAGUUGUCACAUAUAACAGAAUUUCCUUCAUUUUUAAAGGCUGAAUGGCAUGUUGUAUAUGUGUGUGUGUGUGUAUACAUAUAUAUACACAUAUAUAUAUACAUAUACAUAUAUAUACAUAUAAUAUAUAUAUUAUAUAUACACACACACACUGAGUUUUCUUUAUCCAUUCAUCUUUGAUAGAUAUUUAGAUUGUACUGCCAAGCUGUAUUCAAUCUCUAAAUCUGGAAAAGAGAUUAUGUAAGAAAUUAGAAGCCCAUUUAUAAGAUUUCAAAUAAUAGUAAGAAACACCUUUUUGUUCAUUUUUAGAUGUAUUUUUACUGGUACAUUAUAAUAAGUAAUAUUGGAAAUUAUUUUGCCAUAUUUGUAUAUGCAUACAACAUAAUUUGAUCAUUCCUUAAGGAAACACUUUUUAAGAGUUAUCCAGUCCCUGUGUGAGGUAGAUUAACUGUUGAAGAAAACUAACAUUGAAUUCUGCCAUUUUAAUCUGUGUGUUCUGCCAGAUCAUAUUAAAGGACUAGUAUUCAUUGUGUUAGUCAGAUAAGACAGUUAUUAUGUGUAAAGAUGUUCACUUAAAAAGAGCAGUAACAACAAAAAUAAAACACCAUUUGCAUGAUAUUUUCACUUCUGUAUUUCUUUUCUUACAUGAGAAGAAUAAAUUUUAAUACCUUUCUCACAGAGUGCUUAUAAGUUAAUAAUAGUAAAAUAGUUGUGCUGAGGAUGAUAUGAGCCAUACACUAUAUAAAUAUGUGCUAUGGUUAUUAUCAUAUUUACCACAUUAUUAAACAAUACCCAAAAGCCACUAGUUGCAUUAUUUUUGAUAAUUACACAUAUGCUAUUCAGAAGAAUGUUUGACAUUCUGUGUCCUCUGAAGUUUAUAGUCUGAAUUCUAUAAUUUUAUUUCAC
rnacentral:lncRNA from 1 species